rnacentral:lncRNA from 1 species
AUUAAAAAGCAAUGCAUGUCACCAUGUUCAAUGUAAUUCCCUGAACAGAAUUCCUUUGGAAAAGUAAAACUGACACAUUUGGCCUCACUAAACUGUCAUGAUGAGUUAAACAUUGAUUAUGGGGGAAAAAAUGAACCCUGGACUAGAGGGGAAGUCAUUCCUUAUAAUGCAACGGAUAAUAAUUCUGUAGCUGUGCCAUCCAGAAGUCCACGUAAUGCUCUUUUAUUCCGGGAUAUCUUAUGUGGGAUUUAAAAUGUCUAGAGGGAUUUUCUAGAAGCAUUGUUUUGUUCUGAAUAAGGAAGAUAGGUCAGAAUGGAUAGGGUCUUUUUUUUUUUUUUUUUUUUUUUUUUUUUGGCCUUAAAUGAGAAGGCCCAUUUUUAAUACAACCACUGAUCUGGUGAUUGUAUUUGCUUUAUUAGUAGCUAGUAGUAUUAUUGUUAGUAUUUGCUGCAUAUUUUAGCCUCAUGAUGUCAUCCUACAUAGCUCAGUAUUUCUGGGCUUCUUCAGUUUCUUCCUUGUGACACGGGGUGACAGUGGUGCUCCAUAUUCCUGAAGACACCUGGAAAUAUUGUGGGACGUGCCCUGAGUUGACAUCAGGCAGGUCCUACCUUCCUGAUUGGCCCCUGUUGGUGCUUGAAGAGCCCACUGAAACAACAGACUGAGCAAAGACUUUUAAACGCUGCACGUGGAAUCUACCUCAAAGAAUAUCUAGUUCAAACUGGUCAUUUUGCAGAUGAGAAAACUGAGGUCCAGGACCAUGAAGAGUUAACAGAGGAUUAACACUAAGGCUCUGUCCCCUGAUUUCCAUCCCAGUGGUCUCUUUCCAGCACACAGGCUGUGCCACAGAUUUUAUAGGCAUCUGGAAUUUUGCUGGCAGGGUUACUUCUAAGAAAUCUUUCGGUGGAAUCUCUUUAAGUGGCCCCUGGAAUGUAAGCACUAUGGGCAGUCUGUAGUGACCCAGAGCUCCAAAACAGAGUUUCUAAACAGGCAUGGCAGCAAAUCCCAGCAACAUCAGGCAGAUGCUUUAGACAUUUAAGGAUCUGCAGAUACUGCAGAAUCCCUCAGUUGUGUGGUCAGCACAUUACAACUCACAUAACUGUAAAAUUUUGCUGCAAUAAAAAUUAUUUUUAUAAUAAAAAACAUACUGUUAUAAAAGUAUUACCACUGGUAAUAGCACCUGUUUUGACAUCACUUUAUAAAGACUUUUCCUGUAAUUAUUUCAUCUUGUCUUCACAAAACCUGUGAUGUCGUAUGAGCAUACCUAUUUCCAUAAAAGGAAACUGAGGCUCAAAGGGAUUAAGUGAUUUGUUUAAUGGUACUCAGUUAUUAGGCAGCAGAACAGGAACCUGAAUGCCAACUCCCCUGCUUCUAUACUUUGCUCCUACUAAUCACAAUCCCUCUUGAUAUGAGCUUUAAAAUGACUUUCUUUGCAAGUUUCAUGAGCAUGUUGAUAAACAAAGGUCUCUAGGAAGUCCAAAUGUUUUUUCGCUGACUACCGCCUGGCUUCUAGUUCUCUUUCAAUCUUUUAUUUUUAGUCUCCUUUGCAUUUAAGUUUGAGACAAUAAGAUCCUGAGGAGCUUGACUGUGGCCUGGGCCUGGGGAUACUUCAGGAUUGUGAACUCAGGGAAUCUGAGGCAGGAAUUAAAAGGUACAUGAACACAAAUAGGAACACAUCUUCUCAAGAACUUAGGCUUUUUUUUUUUUUUUGGAUAGGCCUCAG